CAGUCUUCUUUUAUUAUUAUUGAAUUAAUAAAUAAAAAUUAAUAAUAUUUUUAAUAUAUUAAAUAGGUUUGAUAAAUUCAUCUAUUAAAGUUUGAAGGGCUAGGACAAAAAAGAUAAGUAAUCCCGACACUUCUUACUUAUUUUUUAAAUUAUUGACUAUUUUAUCAUGAAAAAAAUUAUUCUAUAUUUUUAUAAAAUAAGGA
rnacentral:lncRNA from 1 species